rnacentral:sRNA from 1 species
CUGACAGCCUUUGAGUCUGAAGUUGUCUAGUUAUCAGCCAGGACAGCAGAUGUAUGAGCGUCUCCACCAGCAUUCUGUCCAUGUGCCUCAGCCCUGUUCUGGAGGGGUAGUUCCUUCUCCAUGCUCAUUUAGUCCUUGGUUUUC